rnacentral:rRNA from 1 species
GGCGGCUGCUUUACACAUGCAAGUCGAACGGCAGCGCGGGGGCAGCCCUGGUGGCGAGUGGCGAACGGGUGAGUAAUGCAUCGGAACGUAUCCUGUAGGGGGGGAUAACGUAACGAAAGUUACGCUAAUACCGCAUACGCUCGAGAGAGGAAAGUGGGGGAUCGCAACACCUCGCGUUGUAGGAGCGGCCUAUGUCCGAUUACCUUGUUGGUGGGGUAAGGGCCUACCACCGCCACGAUCAGUACCGGGUCUGAGAGGAAGAUCACCCACACUGGGACUGAAACACGGCCCAGACUCCUACGGGAGGCAGCGGUGGGGAAUUUUGGACUAUGGGCGAAAGCCUGAUCCAGCCGUGCCGCGUGCGGGAAGAAGGCCUUCGGGUUGUAAACCUCUUUCCUCCGGGAAAAAGGGGUGCGAGGAUAAUACCCUUGUGCUUUGAUGGUACUGGAAGAAUAAACACCGACAAACUACUUGCCAUCCCCCNCGGUAAUAUAAUA